rnacentral:piRNA from 1 species
UCGCCUGAAUAAACCGAGUUACGAACUCCUC